GACGAACGCUGGCGGCGUGCCUAAUACAUGCAAGUAGAACGCACAGUUUAUACCGUAGCUUGCUACACCAUAGACUGUGAGUUGCGAACGGGUGAGUAACGCGUAGGUAACCUGCCUGGUAGCGGGGGAUAACUAUUGGAAACGAUAGCUAAUACCGCAUAAUAUUAAUUAUUGCAUGAUAAUUAAUUGAAAGGUGCAAUUGCACCACUACCAGAUGGACCUGCGUUGUAUUAGCUAGUAGGUGAGGUAACGGCUCACCUAGGCGACGAUACAUAGCCGACCUGAGAGGGGGAUAGGCCACACUGGGACGGAAACACGGCCCAGACUCCUACGGGAGGCAGAAGUAGGGAAGCUUCAGCAAUGGACGAAAGUGUGAACGAGCAACGCCGGGUGAGUGAAGAAGGUUGUCGGAUCGUAAAGGUCUGUUGUAAGAGAAGAACGGGUGUGAGAGUGGAAAGUUCACACUGUGACGGUAUCUUACCAGAAAGGGACGGCUAACUACGUG
rnacentral:rRNA from 1 species